rnacentral:rRNA from 1 species
UACGGAGGGUGCAAGCGUUGUCCGGAAUCACUGGGCGUAAAGGGCGCGUAGGCGGCUCGGUAAGUAGGGGGUGAAAUCCUGCGGCUUAACCGCAGGGCUGCCUUCUAAACUGUCGAGCUCGAGCACGGUAGAGGCAGAUGGAAUUCCCGGUGUAGCGGUGAAAUGCGUUGAUAUCGUUAGGAACUCCGGUGGCGAAGGCGGCACGCUGGACCUUUUCUGACGCUGAGGCGCGAAAGCCAGGGGAGCGAACGGG